rnacentral:rRNA from 1 species
UACGUAGGCAGCAAGCGUUGUUCGGAGUUACUGGGCGUAAAGGGUGUGUAGGCGGUUGUUUAAGUUUGGUGUGAAAUCUCCCGGCUCAACUGGGAGGGUGCGCCGAAUACUGAAUGACUAGAGUGCGGGAGAGGAAAGUGGAAUUCCUGGUGUAGCGGUGAAAUGCGUAGAUAACAGGAGGAACACCGGUGGUGUAGACGGCUUUCUGGACCGUAACUGACGCUGAGACACGAAAGCGUGGGUAGCAAACAGG